UGGGGAAUAUUGCACAAUGGGCGCAAGCCUGAUGCAGCCAUGCCGCGUGUGUGAAGAAGGCCCUCGGGUUGUAAAGCACUUUCAGCGGGGAGGAAGGCGGUGAGGUUAAUAACCUCACCGAUUGACGUUACCCGCAGAAGAAGCACCGGCUAACUCCGUGCCAGCAGCCGCGGUAAUACGGAGGGUGCAAGCGUUAAUCGGAAUUACUGGGCGUAAAGCGCACGCAGGCGGUCUGUCAAGUCGGAUGUGAAAUCCCCGGGCUCAACCUGGGAACUGCAUUCGAAACUGGCAGGCUAGAGUCUUGUAGAGGGGGGUAGAAUUCCAGGUGUAGCGGUGAAAUGCGUAGAGAUCUGGAGGAAUACCGGUGGCGAAGGCGGCCCCCUGGACAAAGACUGACGCUCAGGUGCGAAAGCGUGGGGAGCAAACAGG
rnacentral:rRNA from 1 species